CUGUAUAAGGAAUGAGUAAGAUGCUUUUCAAAACAUAGGUAGGAGACAACGCACCAGUGAUACAAACAUGCACUAUCAUGCUACACAUUAUAUGACAUGUCACUGUAAUUUGUUGUAAACUUGUAAUACUAAUUACUUGUCUAGUAAGAUUUCAUAAACAGGGUUAUACAAUAGUUAUUGCAGGAUAUAUCAUCUAUCAGGGUUCAAUGCAUAAGCUGUUCAAAGGUUGCUGCUCAGAAAAUUGCAAUAAUCGACCAUUUCGCAAGGAGAAAAAUUUCAAGAUUGUCAAGGUUUGAAAUUUUACUACAUUAAGAUGGAC
rnacentral:lncRNA from 1 species